ACCAUGAUGGACAGAGCGCCUUUAAAGUCCAAUGCAUUACCACCGUCUGUCAUGAUGUGUGAAGUUUGUCAAGAUCAGGUGAGAAAAAACAAAACUAUUGAUUUAUUCUAAUUCUACAAACAUGUGGAUCAAACUGAUGGAGAUA